rnacentral:tRNA from 2 species
UCCUCGGUAGCUCAACGGUGGAGCAUCCGGCUGUUAACCGGAGGGUUGUAGGUUCGAAUCCUACCCGAGGAG